UACGGAGGGUGCAAGCGUUACUCGGAAUUACUGGGCGUAAAGCGUGUGUAGGUGGCUUCAUAAGUCUGGUGUGAAAUCCCGGGGCUCAACCCCGGAAGUGCAUUGGAUACUGUGAGGCUAGAGUAUGGGAGAGGAGAGUGGAAUUCCAGGUGUAGAGGUGAAAUUCGUAGAUAUCUGGAAGAACACCAGCGGCGAAGGCGGCUCUCUGGACCAUAACUGACACUGAGACACGAAAGCGUGGGGAGCAAACAGG
rnacentral:rRNA from 1 species